GCGCCGCCCUCCUGUCGACCCCGGCGACCUCCGGCAACCCGGCGCGCUCGUCCCCCGCCGUCCCCGCGCGCCGCCGGUCGCCGCUGAGACCACCUGCGGCCGCCCAGACCGGUGCGGGCCGAGGUCGGGCCCGCUCGGCUUCCAAGCGCCGCCGCCGCCAACCGAGGGUUGCACCGCCUUCUCCUUGGCCUCCGCCGCCGGUUCGUCGCCACCCCGACCUCCUCCGGCCGCCGCCGCGCCGCCGGGAAGAUCAAACCCGAGAAGGAGUGGGAGGCGUGGAUCUCAGCCGCCGCGCCACCGGUUGCCGCCCGCCGCCGGCCAUCA
rnacentral:lncRNA from 1 species